rnacentral:rRNA from 1 species
UAGAGUUUGAUCCUGGCUCAGGACGAACGCUGGCGGCGUGCCUAAUACAUGCAAGUUGAACGCAACAAAGACACCAGAGCUUGCUCUACCGUUUUUGUUGAGUAGCGAACGGGUGAGUAACGCGUGGGUAACCUGCCUUAUAGCGGGGGAUAACUAUUGGAAACGAUAGCUAAUACCGCAUAACAAUAGAGAUUGCAUAAUCUUUAUUUGAAAGUGCCAACUGGUACACUAUGAGAUGGACCCGCGUUGUAUUAGCUAGUUGGUAGUGUAAUGGACUACCAAGGCGAUGAUACAUAGCCGACCUGAGAGGGUGAUCGGCCACAUGGA